CAACCCUACGGGGGGCAGCAGUGGGGAAUAUUGCACAAUGGGGGAAACCCUGAUGCAGCAACGCCGCGUGAGUGAAGAAGUAUUUCGGUAUGUAAAGCUCUAUCAGCAGGGAAGAAAAUGACGGUACCUGAGUAAGAAGCCCCGGCUAACUACGUGCCAGCAGCCGCGGUAAUACGUAGGGGGCAAGCGUUAUCCGGAUUUACUGGGUUUAAAGGGUGCGCAGGCGGUCUGUUAAGUCAGCGGUCAAAGCCCGGGGCUCAACCCCGGCCCGCCGUUGAAACUGGCAGUCUCGAGGUGGAGAGAAG
rnacentral:rRNA from 1 species